rnacentral:tRNA from 1 species
GUUGUGGCUCAAUGGCAGAGCACUUGCCUCGCAUGCAUGAGACACUGGAUUCGAUCCUCAGCACACA